rnacentral:lncRNA from 1 species
CUCACUGUAACCCCCCUCCAGGUCUGUUCUCCUACUAAUCUCACUGUAACCCCCCUCCAGGUCUCUGUUCUCCUACUAAUCUCACUGUAACCCCCCUCCAGGUCUCUGCUCUCCUACUAAUCUCACUGUAACCCCCCCUCCAGGUCUCUGUUCUCCUACUAAUCUCACUGUAACCCCCCUCCAGGUCUCUGUUCUCCUACUAAUCUCACUGUAACCCCCCUCCAGGUCUGUUCUCCUACUAAUCUCACUGUAACCCCCCUCCAGGUCUCUGUUCUCCUACUAAUCUCACUGUAACCCCCCUCCAGGUCUGUUCUCCUACUAAUCUCAC